rnacentral:snRNA from 1 species
AUACUCACCUGACAGGGAAACUCCAGGAACAGGAAGAUGGUUUUCUUGGGAUGAAUCUCAUUGGUUAUACUCCGGGUGUGCUGUCCUCUCUAGUUCCCUAUAGUUGGGGAAAAUCUAAUAAUAGAAGCUGAGUUGGUGCUUUCCCAAGUUACUGUUUGUCAAAGGU